rnacentral:rRNA from 1 species
GAUGAACGCUGGCGGCGUGCCUAAUACAUGCAAGUCGAGCGAACAGACGAGGAGCUUGCUUCUCUGACGUUAGCGGCGGACGGGUGAGUAACACGUGGAUAACCUACCUAUAAGACUGGGAUAACUUCGGGAAACCGGAGCUAAUACCGGAUAAUAUAUUGAACCGCAUGGUUCAAUAGUGAAAGACGGUUUUGCUGUCACUUAUAGAUGGAUCCGCGCUGCAUUAGCUAGUUGGUAAGGUAACGGCUUACCAAGGCGACGAUGCGUAGCCGACCUGAGAGGGUGAUCGGCCACACUGGAACUGAGACACGGUCCAGACUCCUACGGGAGGCAGCAGUAGGGAAUCUUCCGCAAUGGGCGAAAGCCUGACGGAGCAACGCCGCGUGAGUGAUGAAGGUCUUCGGAUCGUAAAACUCUGUUAUUAGGGAAGAACAAAUGUGUAAGUAACUGUGCACGUCUUGACGGUACCUAAUCAGAAAGCCACGGCUAACUACGUG